rnacentral:rRNA from 1 species
GAUGAACGCUGGCGGCGUGCCUAAUACAUGCAAGUCGAGCGAACAGACGAGGAGCUUGCUCCUCUGACGUUAGCGGCGGACGGGUGAGUAACACGUGGAUAACCUACCUAUAAGACUGGGAUAACUUAGGGAAACCGGAGCUAAUACCGGAUAAUAUAUUGAACCGCAUGGUUCAAUAGUGAAAGACGGUUUUGCUGUCACUUAUAGAUGGAUCCGCGCCGCAUUAGCUAGUUGGUAAGGUAACGGCUUACCAAGGCAACGAUGCGUAGCCGACCUGAGAGGGUGAUCGGCCACACUGGAACUGAGACACGGUCCAGACUCCUACGGGAGGCAGCAGUAGGGAAUCUUCCGCAAUGGGCGAAAGCCUGACGGAGCAACGCCGCGUGAGUGAUGAAGGUCUUCGGAUCGUAAAACUCUGUUAUUAGGGAAGAUCAAAUGUGUAAGUAACUAUGCACGUCUUGACGGUACCUAAUCAGAAAGCCACGGCUAACUACGUG